ensembl:lncRNA
CUCGGCUCCUAUGACUUGUCUGGGAUCGAGACUCUGUGUCUGCACAUGAAUGUAUUCCCCCCCCUCUUUGAAGACCCCGGCGAUCUGACUGCCAGCCCUUCAUCUUUCCUCCAACCUCGUCUAGAUGUUUUAAGAGACCAGUUUAGAGACGGAAUCAAUACCUUGCUCUACAUAGUGACGGGAUUAUCAGAGCAGCAGAGGCCGGUGCAGACAAUGGACGCCAAAUGAUCCGUCUUGGACGGCGGGGCUAAUAGAGUGCUUCAAAAGAGCGACCACAAUGGAUGUUCAGAGCGGAGGUGUUUACAGAACUACUGGGGUAACCGUCGUGCUGGCCGGUCCACAGGACAGACAGCCAACAGCCAACGUCUCUGUAAAGACAUGUGUGUGAGCAGAGGAGGCAGGGUCGAGAGUGGGGACGCUCUCUGGCCUGCGUCUCUUACGGGGCACCAAUGAUGUGACGUCUCAGUGGAUCUCGGGCGGCAUGUGACCCAGGAGGUAGAGCGAGUUGGCUGGUAACCACAAGGCUGCUAGUUUGAGCGUCGAGGCGUCCCUGAGCAAGACGCCUCGACCUGACUGCUCCUGACGAGCUGGCUGUCACGUGUCGCCUUGUGGGGUUGACACCGCCGUGAACUUAUGCAUGAAUGGGAAGGAAACAUAACAGGAAACCGGGAAAACACCUCCCAGAAAGAAUUGCAUACCAAACGUCGUUCCCAGCUCCUGCAGAAUUAGCAGGAAAAUGGGGCAGGUCUUAAACAAUGCUGAGAACAAGUGGAACAAUGCAGACCCUACUGGCUGCCUCAGACCUCGCUCCCUGACCUCCAGGUCAACCGUGUGGGUACAACAUGUGUCCAUCCCGGGGCUGAAGGAAGUCCCCCAUAACCUCCAGAAGAGGAAGAAGGACCAAAAAAGAGGCAACACUAAAAGGACAGAAGCUAAAGUUGACUCAAAGGCAAAAAUCUAAAUUUCAUUUGAAACGAUGACACAUUUACUCGUUGUGUCGUUGUCAUGACGCCGGUCGAAGAUAAGACUGUCAUGUUGCUAGGUUACAGUAUCCCUCAGAUCAAAGUUCACUAUGGAGGAUUUGGUCUUGCCAUCUACACGAUUUUAAAUGAAAUCAAAUAGUUUCAGCAAACUUCCCCAUGCUCUAACACUAACCCUAACCCUAACACUAAAUCCUAACAAUAACCUGAGGGAUACAUGUUUUCAUUUUCUAAUUGUUUUACUGCAGCAUUCUAUUUUUAUGAGUAAAUGCUAAAAACAUAACAAUAUCCAUUUCUGUUACAUUUUGGUAGAUUAAAAAAAUCGCAUUGUUAUCAGCAAGCUCCACCAUAUAUUUGUACGAGGAAGUAGGUAGCUCUGUGUUUUAGAUUGUUUGCUAACCAAGUGUGAAGCUGUGUAGCAUCCGGGGUUGGCCACAGCACUACGAGGAGAAGUUGUUUCAACUGACAAAAUCACACUGCUUGCAGGUCGGGUCACUUCUUGUUUGACCUUGUUGCCAGGCGAUGUUUGUUUAUCAUUCAUCUCCCUGGCAACCUACCGAUAUCAGAUGUAAACGAAAAACCACAUCCGCAACAGUGCCGGGUGUCGAGAGAGACUGCUCUGUCAACAAGAACAAAUUAAUGAAUUAAUAAAAGCAAAAAGCAUUGAGCAAUUAUAAAAG